rnacentral:rRNA from 1 species
UACGUAGGGUGCAAGCGUUGUCCGGAAUUAUUGGGCGUAAAGAGCGUGUAGGCGGCCCGAUUAGUCCGCUGUGAAAGUCCAAGGGCUCAACCCUGGAAUGCCGGUGGAUACUGUCGGGCUAGAGUCCGGAAGGGGCGAGUGGAAUUCCUGGUGUAGCGGUGAAAUGCGCAGAUAUCAGGAGGAACACCUGUGGUGUAGACAGCUUACUGGACCACUUCUGACGCUGAGACACGAAAGCGUGGGUAGCAAACAGG